ACCGAUUGACUUAAGCAUAUCAAUAAGCGGAGGAAAAGAAACCAACAGGGAUUGCCUUAGUAACGGCGAGUGAAGCGGCAACAGCUCAAAUUUGAAAUCUGGCCCUUGGGUCCGAAUUGUAAUUUGUAGAGGAUGAUUUUGGUGCGGUAUCUUCCGAGUUCCUUGGAACAGGACGCCUUAGAGGGUGAGAGCCCCGUACGGUUGAAUGCCUAGCCUCUGUAAAUCUCCUUCGACGAGUCGAGUAGUUUGGGAAUGCUGCUCUAAAUGGGAGGUAAAUUUCUUCUAAAGCUAAAUAUUGGCCAGAGACCGAUAGCGCACAAGUAGAGUGAUCGAAAGAUGAAAAGCACUUUGAAAAGAGGGUUAAAUAGCACGUGAAAUUGUUGAAAGGGAAGGAUUUGUGACCAGACUUUUUCUGGGCGGAUCAUCCGGGGUUCUCUCCGGUGCACUUCGCCCAGUAAAGGCCAGCAUCGGUUUUCGGCGUGGGAUAAAAGCAGUAGGAAUGUGGCUCUCUACGGGGAGUGUUAUAGCCUAUUGUAUAAUACCGCGCUGGGGACCGAGGUUCGCGCUUCUGCAAGGAUGCUGGCGUAAUGGUUAUCAAUCACCCGUCUUGAAACACGGACCAAGGAGUCGAACAUUUGUGCGAGUGUUUGGGUGUUAAACCCUCACGCGUAAUGAAAGUGAACGGAGGUGAGAGCCCUUACGGGUGCAUCAUCGACCGAUCCUGAAGUUUUCGGAUGGAUUUGAGUAAGAGCAUAACUGUUCGGACCCGAAAGAUGGUGAACUAUGCGUGGAUAGGGUGAAGCCAGAGGAAACUCUGGUGGAGGCUCGCAGCGGUUCUGACGUGCAAAUCGAUCGUCAAAUCUGCGCAUGGGGGCGAAAGACUAAUCGAACCAUCUAGUAGCUGGUACCGCCAAAUCUCCC
rnacentral:rRNA from 1 species